GAAGGAGCCAGGCCCUAUGUCUUCCUUGGAGGAGGGGGUGAGAAGGUGCAACAUCAAUUAACAUAGGCACCAUGAGUCCAAUGUAAGGGAUAGGGCAGACUCUUUUAUUUAACCAUGGGGAGUGGGGACUUAGACACCCUCCCAGCGCCCAGGCAUGAUCAAGACCUCUGACAGCGCCUGCUACUAGGCCCUAACACACCUUAAAAGAAUACUCAACAAUAUCAGUAAAGGAGGCAGCUUGGAGCUUCCAGCUGCAUAGACCACUAGUAGCCAGUGAAGAACAGGCUAGGUGAGGAUGGCCAUCCACAUUUGGGGGUCCCCUGGUGCGGAGGGGAAGAGCAAUAGAGGCUGCAGUUCAUGAUUUUUCUGAGCAAGUAUAGAGCUGGCUCAGCCCAGGAGGUGGAUGGCAAGAGGGAGGGGAGGAGGAGGUGCUUAGGGAGGGAGCAAAGGGUCCAAGGGAAGGGAAGGCAGCAGGGGAGGCAGCAGCUAUGCUAUGCCCCAUUUGAGAGGAAUUCCCAGCUUAUCCACGGGAUCAGGAGAGUUAUAGGGAGGGAGAGAGUCAUCCAGCUCAGGAUCAGAAGGGGAAGGCAAGGCUAGAGGAAUACUGGGCCAGUUAGACUUUCCUUUUGAUUGCUUCAGUUGGAUAGGAAGAAUGGCAGUCUCAUUCUUUGAAGAAAGAAUAAGUAGUUUUAGCCAGGAUGGAGAGUUGACCAGGAGACAGCCCCAGAUCCUGAUGUAGGGGACCUGGUCUGGAUAGCCUGAAUGGCUAAAAACAUCCUAGACCCUAAGAAUAAGCUUAAUAUCAAAGGAACCUUCAGGAAGCCAUCCAAGUCAGGAAGCUGGCCAUCCUGGUGAACAAAAGACCCCAAGUCGCUCCAGUUUCACAUAGGAGGUAGAGACUGCUGCUGCAUCCAUGACGUCCUGAAAACGAGCAAGGACAAGGUUCAAGGAGGCCUUAGGUUUAGAGGAAGUUUGGUCCAUGGUAAGAAUUAAUUCAUAAACAAGUACAAUAAAGAUAUCAACAGUAAACAAGACAACAAGUAAACAAAAGAGGGGAGAUGAAAAUCCAAUAGACAUAGACAGAAGGAUGCUGUGUGAUGGGCUCCAUGGCCCGGACCAGGCCUAAGGAGUUGCAAAUGAAUGAUGUAAUGCCCAGAAAGAGGGUCAAGGAAUUCCUCAUUCCUCUUUGGCUUGGACGUCAACACUGCCUCUGCCUGCUCUCGAAACUGAGUCACAGUUUGUAUGGGCACCAGAUACAGAAACCAGAGAAAAAUUUAAUUAUUGACCAGAACCAGUAGAAUAAAGUUUCCAGAGGCUGGGGUGUCCUCCAAGAAUUCUGUGAUCCCAGAUGAUCCCCAAAAAUGUUAGCUCCUGGGGUCACACAAAUAAUGGGAACCAAACCCCUGAAGUCUGUUAACCAGGAGCUAACUUCGUUCCAUCACCACGGGGCACCAAAACUUCUAGCCAGCUAGGGCCACAGACAGAGUUCAGGAUUCUGGCUCUGUGACUAUGAGAAGACACCACAAGCUUCUGUCUACAGAAAAAAAAAAUCCAUACACCAGGCGGGGAGUUAAGGGAAUUUUACAGUCUUGAGGUUAGGUCUUGAGGCCAGUCACAGGAAUAUUUUCAAAGUUGAGCUUGGACGUUGAGUCACAGUACAUUCUGGGAUUUACAACUUUUGAUUCCAGGAUGUUUGUGAAAGCCUGUGACUAUCUUGACACAGCUGCUUUCCCAGUAGCUGAAAGGAAUGUAGGGUAAAGGGUGACCUAGAAACAACUGUUAAAGGUUAACCUUUAUCUAACUCCGCCAUCAUCUCUAAUUCCCCUAGAAUGCGUGUAUAGGCUAGGCAUACAGUUUUCCCGCAUUGCUGGGCUCCUCACCACCUCGUGGCGUGGGUCUUCAGUCAAACCAGACACAGUCAUUGUUGCCCAGAGUAGUCUAGAACUUGAUGAGCAGACAAGGAUGACCUUGAACUUCCAAUCUUCUCGCCUCCACACCUCAAGGGCUAAGGAUUACGAGCAUGCACCAUCGUGCCUAGGUGUUGUGAUACUGGGAAUCAAACCCAGGACUUCCGGUGUGGAAGGUUCUAAAGUAGUAGACUUGGAUCCAUACUGCUCCCUUCCUCCUUACGUUCAUCGAGCAUGUGGUCUGUUCAUUUCCUUUACAAGUCCUUAUAUCGUACCCUCUCACCAUGUCCUUCUCUCUUGGUGUGCCAUGUUCGGUGUGAAGGAUACAAGGAAACCCUAACCAUCCCCUGUGACCCAGAUGACAAUGAAUUCAGAGCAACCUGGGAAAACCUACGUUGUUUUGUUGACAUCCACUGACUAACCUUACUUGACAGUUUCUGAUUGGACUUAA